AACGAACGCUGGCGGCAUGCCUAACACAUGCAAGUCGAACGAGACCUUCGGGUCUAGUGGCGCACGGGUGCGUAACGCGUGGGAACCUGCCCUUAGGUUCGGAAUAACUCCCCGAAAGGGGUGCUAAUACCGGGUAAUGUCUUCGGACCAAAGAUUUAUCGCCUUUGGAUGGGCCCGCGUUGGAUUAGCUAGUUGGUAGGGUAAAAGCCUACCAAGGCGACGAUCCAUAGCUGGUCUGAGAGGAUGAUCAGCCACACUGGGACUGAGACACAGCCCAGACUCCUACGGGAGGCAGCAGUGGGGAAUAUUGGACAAUGGGCGAAAGCCUGAUCCAGCAAUACCGCGUGAGUGAUGAAGGCCUUAGGGUUGUAAAGCUCUUUUACCCGGGAUGAUAAUGACAGUACCGGGAGAAUAAGCUCCGGCUAACUCCGUG
rnacentral:rRNA from 1 species